UACAGAGGUCUCAAGCGUUGUUCGGAUUCAUUGGGCGUAAAGGGUGCGUAGGCGGCGCGGUAAGUCGGGUGUGAAAUCUUGGAGCUUAACUCCGAAACUGCAUUCGAUACUGCCGUGCUUGAGGACUGGAGAGGAGACUGGAAUUUACGGUGUAGCGGUGAAAUGCGUAGAUAUCCGGAGGAACACCGGUGGCGAAGGCGGCUUCCUGGACCGACACUGACGCUGAGGCGCGAAAGCUAGGGGAGCAAACGGG
rnacentral:rRNA from 1 species